AUUGAACGCUGGCGGCAUGCUUUACACAUGCAAGUCGAACGGCAGCGCGGGCUUCGGCCUGGCGGCGAGUGGCGAACGGGUGAGUAAUACAUCGGAACGUGCCCAGUAGUUGUGGAUAGCUCGGCGAAAGCCGGAUUAAUACCGCAUACGACCUGAGGGCGAAAGCGGGAGAUCUUCGGACCUUCCGCUAUUGGAGCGGCCGAUGGCCGAUUAGCUAGUUGGUGGGGUAAAGGCCUACCAAGGCGACGAUCUGUAGCUGGUCUGAGAGGACGACCAGCCACACUGGAACUGAGACACGGCCCAGACUCCUACGGGAGGCAGCAGUGGGGAAUUUUGGACAAUGGGCGAAAGCCUGAUCCAGCAAUGCCGCGUGUGUGAUGAAGGCCUUCGGGUUGUAAAGCACUUUUGGCGGGAACGAAAAGGACUGUGCCAAUACCACGGUUCGAUGACGGUACCCGAAGAAUAAGCACCGGCUAACUACGUG
rnacentral:rRNA from 1 species